rnacentral:rRNA from 1 species
UACGGGGGGGGCAAGCGUUGUUCGGAAUUACUGGGCGUAAAGAGCGUGUAGGCGGCUAGAUAGGUCCGUUGUGAAAACUCGAGGCUCAACCUCGAGACGUCGAUGGAAACCAUCUGGCUAGAGUCCGGAAGAGGAGAGUGGAAUUCCUGGUGUAGCGGUGAAAUGCGCAGAUAUCAGGAAGAACACCCGUGGCGAAGGCGGCUCCCUGGGACGUGACUGACGCUGAGACGCGAAAGCGUGGGGAGCGAACAGG